rnacentral:rRNA from 1 species
GAUGAACGCUGGCGGCGUGCCUAAUACAUGCAAGUCGAGCGAACAGACGAGGAGCUUGCUCCUCUGACGUUAUCGGCGGACGGGUGAGUAACACGUGGAUAACCUACCUAUAAGACUGGGAUAACUUCGGGAAACCGGAGCUAAUACCGGAUAAUAUAUUGAACCGCAUGGUUCAAUAGUGAAAGACGGUUUUGCUGUCACUUAUAGAUGGAUCCGCGCCGCAUUAGCUAGUUGGUAAGGUAACGGCUUACCAAGGCAACGAUGCGUAGCCGACCUGAGAGGGUGAUCGGCCACACUGGAACUGAGACACGGUCCAGACUCCUACGGGAGGCAGCAGUAGGGAAUCUUCCGCAAUGGGCGAAAGCUUGACGGAGCAACGCCGCGUGAGUGAUGAAGGCCUUCGGAUCGUAAAACUCUGUUAUUAGGGAAGAACAAAUGUGUAAGUAACUAUGCACGUCUUGACGGUACCUAAUCAGAAAGCCACGGCUAACUACGUG